rnacentral:lncRNA from 1 species
AUGAACUGCAGGGGGAUUUUGGGUGGGGAUGCAGAAGCAACGAGGCCCCAAGAAGCUCCUUCCACGAGUCCUUUCAGGUCGCCUUUGAUCCAGGGGAGCCCCAAGUCCCCGGGGAGGCUCGUGCCGGGCUCCUGGGCUGCCCUGCUGCUGCUCGGGGGUCCUGGGGUGCUGCCCGCGCCCGGGGAUGUCUCUGGAGGACAGGCGGGGCCGGGGGUCCCUUGCCGGGGGCAGUGGUGGGAUCGGAUCCCCCCGGACCCGCGCCCGCCCCGGCCUCAGUCGCGCCUCUUGCCCUCCCUGCCCGGCUCCCAGGGCUUCCUGCCCUUCUGCUGCUUCCAGUCCCGCCUCGGGCUCUCCCGGCCGCCCUCAGCCCGGCCGGGCCGGCCCUUCCACCCCUCCCGCCGGGACUCCUCCCGCUCCCGCCGUCUCUCCUUCCUCUCCUUCCUCUCCCGGUCCCGCUUCUUCUGGGGCUGCUGCUCGGGUUCCCUGGGGGCCCUGGGGGCUCUGCCAGCUUUGUCCCCCGCUGUCCUGUCCUUGGCUCGUGCCUCCCUUCUGCUGCUCCGCUCCGCAUGGACAGCACGGCCUUCCCGGGAUUUCUCCUUCUUCUCCUCCUUCUUCUUCUUCUCCUCCUUCUCCUUCUCCUCCUCUUCCUCCUCCUCCUCUUCCUCCUCCUCCUCCUCCUCAUUCUCCUCUUUUUCUUCCUCCUUCUCUUCCUUUUCUUCUUCCUCCUCCUCCUCCUCCUUCUCCUCCUUCUCUGCCUUCUUCUCAUGCUUCUCCUGGCUCUUCUUCCCCUCCAUCACAGCCAUUGGCACCUCGGGAACAUCUUCAGGUUCUUCUUCCUUGUCCUCAUCCUCAUCCUUGCCUUCAUCUUUGUCCUCAUCCUCAUCCUUGUCCCCAUCCUUGUCUUCAUCCUCUGGUGUUGCGCGGCCAAACCACUUCUUGAAGAUCCAGGGUUCUGCCUGUGGGGACAAAGGGGACCAGGAGCUGAUGAUGCAGCCCCGGGGACCCCUCUCCAUCCCUCCCCCUGGGGACAAGGCACUCCCUGCUCCGGGAGGUGCCACCCUGACCCGUACCAGGUUGCUGUCAGCUUCGCUGUCAUCGUCAUCCUCACCAUCUUCGUCAUCACCGUCAUCCUCCAUCACGCUGCUCUCCGGGGGCGGCGGGGGCUGGGCAGUCACCACCUCCGGGAUCUCCUCCGCCUUGGGGCUCAGCAGCUCUGGGAGGGGAGAGGGACAGGCCGCUGUCAGCUGA